rnacentral:pre_miRNA from 1 species
CCGCUCUCGUGCCCUUAUCACUUUUCCAGCCCAGCUUCUGCACUCUGACUGUUGGACGGAGAACUGAUAAGGGUGCGCGAGUGA